rnacentral:rRNA from 1 species
AUUGAACGCUGGCGGCAUGCUUUACACAUGCAAGUCGAACGGCAGCGCGGGGGCAACCCUGGCGGCGAGUGGCGAACGGGUGAGUAAUACAUCGGAACGUAUCCCGUAGAGGGGGAUAGCUCGGCGAAAGCCGGAUUAAUACCGCAUAUGCUCUACGGAGGAAAGCAGGGGACCCGCAAGGGCCUUGCGCUAUGGGAGCGGCCGAUGUCCGAUUAGCUUGUUGGUGGGGUAAAGGCUUACCAAGGCGACGAUCGGUAGCUGGUCUGAGAGGAUGAUCAGCCACACUGGGACUGAGACACGGCCCAGACUCCUACGGGAGGCAGCAGUGGGGAAUUUUUGGACAAUGGGGGAAACCCUGAUCCAGCCAUGCCGCGUGAGUGAAGAAGGCCUUCGGGUUGUAAAGCUCUUUUGGCCGG